rnacentral:misc_RNA from 1 species
GAUGAAGAACGUAGCGAAAUGCGAUACGUAAUGUGAAUUGCAGAAUUCAGUGAAUCAUCGAGUCUUUGAACGCACAUUGCGCCCCCUGGUAUUCCGGGGGGCAUGCCUGUCCGAGCGUCAUUGCUGCCCUCAAGCACGGCUUGUGUGUUGGGCCUCCGUCCUCCUCCCGGGGGACGGGCCCGAAAGGCAGCGGGGGCACCGCGUCCGGUCCUCGAGCGUAUGGGGCUUCGUCACCCGCUCUUGUAGGCCCGGCCGGCGCUUGCCGACACAUCAAUCUUUUUUCCAGGUUGACCUCGGAUCAGGUAGGGAUACCCGCUGAACUUAAGCAUAUCAAUAAGCGGAGGA